GCUAUGAGAACAAUUAGUGGCAGACGGGUGAGUAAUGCAUAGGAAUCUACCUAGUAGUAUAGGAUAGCCACUAGAAAUGGUGGGUAAUACUGUAUAAUCCCUGCGGGGGAAAGAUUUAUCGCUACAUGAUGAGCCUAUGUUAGAUUAGCUAGUUGGUGGGGUAAUGGCCUACCAAGGCAGUGAUCUAUAGCUGGUCUGAGAGGAUGAUCAGCCACACUGGAACUGAGACACGGUCCAGACUCCUACGGGAGGCAGCAGUGGGGAAUAUUGGACAAUGGGCGCAAGCCUGAUCCAGCUAUGCCGCGUGAGUGAGGAAGGCCUUAGGGUUGUAAAACUCUUUCAGUGGGGAAGAUAAUGACGGUACCCACAGAAGAAGUCCCGGCAAACUCCGUGCCAGCAGCCGCGGUAAUACGGAGGGGGCAAGCGUUGUUCGGAAUUAUUGGGCGUAAAGGGCAUGUAGGUGGUUUGGUAAGUUAAAGGUGAAAUGCCAGGGCUUAACCCUGGAGCUGC
rnacentral:rRNA from 1 species